ensembl:snoRNA SNORD22 Small nucleolar RNA SNORD22
UCCUAGUGAAGAAACAUUCACAUGACUUACCUUCUGUCCUGGUCCCAGAGAAUAUAAAUGUGAACCCAUUGGAGCAGCCUUGGAGAGAAGAUGAGUUUAUUCUAAAGGAUACUAACUAUCUGAGGGAU